ACAGGAGGACAUUCGAGGAGGAUUUGUCCUGUGGAAACGACUGACAGCGUUAUGAGAAAAUGCUUCACAAUUUAAUUAAUUAUUGGCACAUUCAUUUCUUUAAAGGUUAUAAUUUUAAAAGAAUAUAGAAGCUGCUGGAAGAACCAAAUCAAGCAAAGGCCUGACGAUCCUAAAAACAAGAAGUGUACGAGGAAUUUGUUUUAGUGACAGAAGCUUCCACAGUGCAACUGAAUGACAGCGACAGGACACGGAUAAUUUAUUUAUUUUUUUACAAAUAUACAAAAUGGACAAUAUGCAAAAUAGCACAAACACAAUACACAAAAUAGACAAUUCAGUAUGUACAGGUAUAUGUUA